GAGGCUUAACACAUGCAAGUCGAGGGGCAGCAUUUUAGUUUGCUUGCAAACUGAAGAUGGCGACCGGCGCACGGGUGAGUAACACGUAUCCAACCUGCCGAUAACUCCGGGAUAGCCUUUCGAAAGAAAGAUUAAUACCGGAUAGUAUACGAAUAUCGCAUGAUAUUUUUAUUAAAGAAUUUCGGUUAUCGAUGGGGAUGCGUUCCAUUAGUUUGUUGGCGGGGUAACGGCCCACCAAGACUACGAUGGAUAGGGGUUCUGAGAGGAAGGUCCCCCACAUUGGAACUGAGACACGGUCCAAACUCCUACGGGAGGCAGCAGUGAGGAAUAUUGGUCAAUGGGCGCGAGCCUGAACCAGCCAAGUAGCGUGAAGGAUGAAGGCUCUAUGGGUCGUAAACUUCUUUUAUAUGGGAAUAAAGUUUUCCACGUGUGGAAUUUUGUAUGUACCAUAUGAAUAAGGAUCGGCUAACUCCGUGCCAGCAGCCGCGGUAAUACGGAGGAUCCGAGCGUUAUCCGGAUUUAUUGGGUUUAAAGGGAGCGUAGGUGGAUUGUUAAGUCAGUUGUGAAAGUUUGCGGCUCAACCGUAAAAUUGCAGUUGAAACUGGCAGUCUUGAGUACAGUAGAGGUGGGCGGAAUUCGUGGUGUAGCGGUGAAAUGCUUAGAUAUCACGAAGAACUCCGAUUGCGAAGGCAGCUCACUAGACUGUCACUGACACUGGUGCUCGAAAGUGUGGGUAUCAAACAGGAUUAGAUACCCUGGUAGUCCACACAGUAAACGAUGAAUACUCGCUGUUUGCGAUAUACAGUAAGCGGCCAAGCGAAAGCAUUAAGUAUUCCACCUGGGGAGUACGCCGGCAACGGUGAAACUCAAAGGAAUUGACGGGGGCCCGCACAAGCGGAGGAACAUGUGGUUUAAUUCGAUGAUACGCGAGGAACCUUACCCGGGCUUAAAUUGCAACAGAAUAUAUUGGAAACAGUAUAGCCGUAAGGCUGUUGUGAAGGUGCUGCAUGGUUGUCGUCAGCUCGUGCCGUGAGGUGUCGGCUUAAGUGCCAUAACGAGCGCAACCCUUAUCUUUAGUUACUAACAGGUUAUGCUGAGGACUCUAGAGAGACUGCCGUCGUAAGAUGUGAGGAAGGUGGGGAUGACGUCAAAUCAGCACGGCCCUUACGUCCGGGGCUACACACGUGUUACAAUGGGGGGUACAGAAGGCGGCUACCUGGUGACAGGAUGCUAAUCCCAAAAACCUCUCUCAGUUCGGAUCGAAGUCUGCAACCCGACUUCGUGAAGCUGGAUUCGCUAGUAAUCGCGCAUCAGCCAUGGCGCGGUGAAUACGUUCCCGGGCCUUGUACACACCGCCCGUCAAGCCAUGAAAGCCGGGGGUACCUGAAGUACGUAACCGCAAGGAGCGUCCUAGGGUAAAACUGGUAAUUGGGG
rnacentral:rRNA from 1 species